rnacentral:rRNA from 1 species
UACGUAGGUGACAAGCGUUGUCCGGAUUUACUGGGCGUAAAGAGCGCGCAGGCGGUCGUUCAAGUCGAGUGUGAAAGCCCCCGGCUCAACUGGGGAGGGUCAUUCGAUACUGAUCGACUCGAAGGCAGGAGAGGGAAGUGGAAUUCCCAGUGUAGCGGUGAAAUGCGUAGAUAUUGGGAGGAACACCAGAUGCGAAGGCGGGUCACUGGGCUGAUACUGACGCUGAUGCGCGAAAGCCAGGGGAGCGAACGGG